AAAAGGAUGGCCCAACAGGUCAUGAAUUUUUCAACACAAAAUAAUAUUUCAGAAAUUACUUCUAUAUCUAGAGAAGGCCUGAGUAAGAGUCUAACACUCUUCACUUGGGAAAAGAUGUUCUGGGUUAAUUCAACUUUGUGAUUCAACAUUUGCAGAUGUCGAUAUUCUUUUGAACUUUAUUCCUAUCACAGGGAGUUAACAGCCGGACAAAGAAAGUAGAUUUUCUAUACUUUAUUUACAAGUAAACAAUGUAUUGUUCAGCAUUGCAAAGACAAACAGAUGGCUCCAACUAUAUAGUGGACUGCAAAAUUGAUGUUACCAACAAUUGAUGAAUCAAUAACAUAUCAAUAUAGAUUAGUAAUGUAUGAAUAUA